AUGCCCUAGUAACGGCGAGUGAAGCGGCAACAGCUCAAAUUUGAAAUCUGGCUUUCGGGUCCGAGUUGUAAUUUGUAGAGGAUGAUUUUGGUUAGGUACCUUCCGAGUUCCUUGGAACAGGACGCCUUAGAGGGUGAGAGCCCCGUACGGUUGGAUGCCGAGCCUCUGUAAAUCUCCUUCGACGAGUCGAGUAGUUUGGGAAUGCUGCUCUAAAUGGGAGGUAAAUUUCUUCUAAAGCUAAAUACCGGCCAGAGACCGAUAGCGCACAAGUAGAGUGAUCGAAAGAUGAAAAGCACUUUGAAAAGAGGGUUAAAUAGUACGUGAAAUUGUUGAAAGGGAAGGGCUUGUGACCAGACCUUUGCCUUGCGGAUCAUCCGGUGUUCUCACCGGUGCACUCCGCUUGGUUGAGGCCAGCAUCAGUUUCGGCGGCGGGAUAAAGACUUCAGGAACGUGACUCCCCCGGGAGUGUUAUAGCCUGCUGUGUAAUACCGCCGCUGGGACUGAGGACCGCGCUUCGGCUAGGAUGCUGGCAUAAUGGUCAUCAGCCACCCGUCUUGAAACACGGACCAAGGAGUCGAACAUUUAUGCGAGUUUUUGGGUGUUAAACCCUCAAGCGUAAUGAAAGUGAACGGAGGUGAGAGCCCUUACGGGUGCAUCAUCGACCGAUCCUGAUGUCUUCGGAUGGAUUUGAGUAAGAGCAUAACUGUUCGGACCCGAAAGAUGGUGAACUAUGCGUGGAUAGGGUGAAGCCAGAGGAAACUCUGGUGGAGGCUCGCAGCGGUUCUGACGUGCAAAUCGAUCGUCAAAUCUGCGCAUGGGGCGAAAGACUAU
rnacentral:rRNA from 1 species